ACUCAUUCUUAGUUUCAUUAUCAGCUCACUAAUAAUACCAGUGUUGUUAAGAUGCUCAAACUAGAGCAGAAUUGUAUGCUGGAUGUGACGCUAGGACCUCAGAUCCUUUGAUAGUGCAGUUAUGACCAGGAUCUCUUUAUUCUGUGCUUCACGUCAACAUCAUUAACCCGAUGAAGCGAAGCACAAGUCAUAAAGGCACAUCAGAGAAGCCGAGAAAGCGGGGCCGUACAGAGAGCAUCAAAAUCAGGUCAGAAAAAUGCUGCUUUCCUCUUCCACCAAACCUUCUCCCUGUUGUUUUUACAUGCCCCGUCCCUCCAGAUUCAGCCUCCGUUUUGUUCUCUCUCCUUUUCCUUUUCCUCCUCUCUUCCUUACCUUCCCCUGUGAGAUGCUUUUCUGUCCUUUUACUGCACCUCUUCCAGACCUAUGGCAUUUGGGGACGGGUCACCCUUCCUAGAGUGAUCCUGAAUCCAGCUGCCUCUUCUUUUUUUGUUUUUGUUUUUGUUUUUGAGACAGAGUCUCUUUCUGUCGUCCAGGCUGGAGUGCAGUAGCGCAAUCUUGGCUCACUGCAACCUCUGCCUCCUGGGUUCAAGCGAUUCUUGUGCCUCAACCUCACGAGGAGCUGGGAUUGCAGGCGCCCGCCACCACACCCGGCUAAUUUUUGUAUUUUUAGUAGAGACGGAGUUUCACCAUGUUGGCCACGCUGGUCUUGAAGCCCAGACCUCAAGUGAUCCGCCCGCCUUGGCCUCCCAAAGUGCUGGGAUUACAGGCAUGAGCCACCGCGCCUGGCCUAGUUCCCUCUUCUUAGAUGGAGAUUUCUGCACAUGAGCUGUGAGAUCCACAGACAUGUCACUGAGCUCCCCCACUCUGUCAGUGGAAGAUGAAUGGAAUAAAGCCUGCUUGCAUUGUGGAGUGCAGCUGUGGGGACAGUUGUCAUUUUUGUGUUUUCAGCUUAACUGUCCAGCAUCUCCCCUCCCUUCCUACAGCAGGGACAUCAUGCCUUAGAUAUAAACUUAGUGGUGUGCAGUACCCACCGUGGAAGCUGAAGAAGGGAAGUAUUUCCUGUCUCUCAGGCACACCCCGCUUCCAGCCCCAUACCAGUCGGGAAGUGGUCAUUGACCUGGGGUGGACUACCUGGACCCUUGCUUGGGGCUAUGAGCCUGGAGAAUGUGACACAAAUGAAGGGAUGCUGAGACUCAUUUCAAGGAAGCCACCGUGGUCCGGGGUUGGUAGUCAUACAGCAAGGCAGGUGGGUAGGGCUGGCAGGCUGCAGGGAUGGUGUGUCCACUGGUAGCAAUGUCCAGGGAUGGCAGCGUCCUGGGAAUGUCAUUUCUGCUCCACUCCUUGGACUCGCUGAGCUGUCUCCGCCUCCACCUAUCUUCCUACAGACCUCCCUUCUAGUUUUCUGUCAAUUCUUUGAGCCAGCAAACUCCAUCCAGUACAUUCUUUCUUCUUUCAUGAAAGAGCUUGAGUUGGAUGUAAAUAUAUAUGACCUAACAAUUCCACCCCUAGGUGUAUACCCUACAGAAAUGUGUACAUGUGUUCAUCCAGAGACAUGCUCUAAAUCUUCACAAAAACACUCUCCAUAAUAACCCCGAACAGGAAAGCACCCCAAUGCCCAUGUUGGCUGGAUAAGCACAUUAGGGUAUAUUCACACGAUGGAAUCCCAGACUGCAAUGGGAAUGAGCUGCAACUCCACCCCCAACUUGGAGUGUAUUCACCAACCCUAGUGUUGAACGAGAUAAGGCAAAAAUGCACCAUAGGAUUCCAUUUAUAUAAAGUUUAAAACCCAGCAAAAUUCAUCCAUGCGGUUGCAAGUAGAGAUCAGUCCUAAGAAGACAGUAACCAGAAGCGGGCAUGAGGUGGUGCUUCUGGGGUGUUCUGUUUCUUGAUCUGGUUGCCGGUUACCUGGGUGCUUUCCGUUUGUGAACAUUCUUGGAGCUGUACACUUUUGAUCUGGGCACUUUUCUGUGUGUAUGUUAUACUUCAAUAAAAAGUUGGGCUUUGUGACUAGCAA
rnacentral:lncRNA from 1 species